CUAUCGUCCCCUGACUCCCCUCCCCUCCUCCCUUUUUUUCCCAAUUCCAAAAUCAAGGCAUCAAGCUACCUCCGUCCUCCACCGAUCCACCUCCAUCGGUCCACCUCCGGUCCUCCACCCAGUUCCAGAAUCAAGCAUUUAAGGGUUUGUUUAUUCCUGAAUCGCCAACAAAUUCGUAUUUAAGUCUUCCAAAUCCCUAACCUUAUCGUGCCCUCCUCAUUUUUUUUCCCAAUUCCAAAAUCAAGGCAUCAAGCUACCUCCACCUCCACCAAUCCACCUCCACCGGUCCACCUCCGGUCCUGCACCCAGUUCCAGAAUCAGGCAUUUAAGGAAACAAGCAACAUUGAAAUCUAUUUGGCUUACCUUAGCUUCCAAUCCUUUCCCGUAAGCUUUCAUUUACAUUUUCUUUUUAGAUUUUAAUUUAAUUUGAUUUUCUUUUAUUUUACUUUGUACAACAUUUUGCAAUUAAAUGCAAGAUUAGCAAAUUUUCUAGAUGAUAAUUUCUGUCCUUAUCUCAAAACAUUGUUAUGCUUACAGAUUCCUCUGAAAAAGAAGUGAACUUCCAAAAUAUUAGUGGGAAAGAAAAACUUAAAUUUUGAUUAAAUUAUGGUAAUGUUUAUCUACUAGUAGGAGGAAAAUAAUGGGAUUGAGAAAUGGAGAUGCUUCUAUUUAUGAAUUUGGAUUGGAUUUAUGCAGUUUGAAUUUCAUUAAUU